GACGAACGCUGGCGGCGUGCUUAACACAUGCAAGUCGAACGGAAAGGCCCUGCUUUUGUGGGGUGCUCGAGUGGCGAACGGGUGAGUAACACGUGAGUAACCUGCCCUUGACUUUGGGAUAACUUCAGGAAACUGGGGCUACUACCGGAUAGGAGCUCCUGCUGCAUGGUGGGGGUUGGAAAGUUUCGGCGGUUGUGGAUGGACUCGCGGCUUAUCAGCUUGUUGGUGGGGUAGUGGCUUACCAAGGCUUUGACGGGUAGCCGGCAUGGGAGGGGGAUCGGCGACAAUGGGACUGAGAGACGGCCCAGACUCCUACGGGAGGCAGCAGUGGGGAAUAUUGCACAAUGGGCGGAAGCCUGAUGCAGCAACGCCGCGUGCGGGAUGACGGCCUUCGGGGUGUAAACCGCUUUCGCCUGUGACGAAGCGGGAGUGACGGUAAUGGGUAAAGAAGCACCGGCUAACUACGUG
rnacentral:rRNA from 1 species